GCCGAAAUAGCUCAGUUGGGAGAGCGUUAGACUGAAGAUCUAAAGGUCCCUGGUUCGGCCCCAGGUUUCGGCA